CUCAGGAUGAACGCUGGCGGCUGCUUAAUACAUGCAAGUCGAACGAAUGGAUGUCUAGCUUGCUAGACUGAAGUUAGUGGCGAACGGGUGAGUAAUACAUAGGCAAUCUGCCCUGAAGUGUGGGAUAGCUAUUGGAAAACGAUAAUUAAUACCGNAUAAGAUCGUAGUUUCGCAUGAAACAGCGAUAAAAGGAUUUAUUCGCUAUGAGAUGGGCCCGCGGCGCAUUAGCUAGUUGGUGGGGUAAUGGCCUACCAAGGCGACGAUGCGUAGCCGACCUGAGAGGGUGAUCGGCCACAUUGGGACUGAGACACGGCCCAGACUCCUACGGGAGGCAGCAGUGAGGAAUAUUGCACAAUGGGGGAAACCCUGAUGCAGCAACGCCGCGUGAGUGAUGACGGUCUUCGGAUUGUAAAACUCUGUCUUUAGGGACGAUAAUGACGGUACCUAAGGAGGAAGCCACGGCUAACUACGUG
rnacentral:rRNA from 1 species